AACCGAAAUUUCAAACAAAAAGAAGCCAUGGAUGCUGGAAAAUUUCAGCUAGUCAAAUUCCUUGCAUCGCUGGGGGCAAAUCGAUGGUUUAUCCAACUAGAGUUGGGCUCACUAAUUAUUCAUCGGUAUAUCCAACUAGCGUUGAGCACAACUUUCAUCAGUUUAUCUGACUAGUGCUGGGCAAACAUUUGUCGAUUUAUCCGACUAGCGCUGGGCGCAAACUCUUUUGUGGAUUAUCCGCUAGGCACCAGGUGUCUUGUAUCAACUGGACUAUACAGCAAGGUUUUAUGAAUCAUCUAAGAAGAAUGGUUAUAAGUAUUACUAAAAAAGAUUAUAUUUACUUAUCUAUAUACAAUUAUUCAUUAGAAGAUAUGAUAUAUUCUUGAGUUAGAUUAUUAAAGUUGUGAAAUAAA